CAACUAAUCGCAGGUGGGCACCGACCAGAUAACGAGUGGUAGUGGUUUAUUCGACGCAGAUAAACUACAUCGUUAUCGGCGACGCUCGUUGCCAGCAUUCACAAGGACCAUGCGUGGACAUCGAAACGGAUGACAAUCCUCUCGUAUGCGGUUUAUUUUCUGCUAGCUGCUGCCUGUAAAAACUUCAAUAUUACAGAAGAACGGGCGGUGCUAAUGCAGUUAACGACUGGCGUUCGGGAGAGGAUUAACACAUUGUUUGCGGCACCUUACCCCACAAACAAACCGUAGCACCUCUUACGAUACAUUUAAAAGCACUUUAAGUUAUUUAUGCGAUUAAAGUAAGUUGCAGUUUUUUAGCCAACAGUUGUAUAUAGGCUCGAGCUAGACGACUGUCAGAGUCAAAGUUCAUGGAUAAAGGCUCUUUGUUUAGAGGGAAGUGUUCGAUGCAGAGAUUUAUUGAAAUCUCGAGAGGAGUUUGGACUAUAGGCUAAGAAGCACAAACAACUUAUGACAGUGUCAAACUACUGAGAAUGCCUGUUGAGGACGUUUUUUUAACCUUGGAUUUACAGUAUCUAUUGUUUCCUCAACGUUCUCAUACAAUUGUAGUUUUGAUCACUGUAAAAGUUCAUCAUUAAAAGAUCAUUUAUUUUGCACUAAUUUAUCAAGUAUGCUAAUAAAUAUUAGAAAAAAAACAUACGUAAGCAUGCCUCCUAACCGCGAAUAUAUCAUGCCGUAACAAUAAGCCUAUCAAAUUCCAUGUAUCCAAGGGCCAAUACAUAUGGA